rnacentral:rRNA from 1 species
UACGUAGGGAGCGAGCGUUGUUCGGAUUUACUGGGCGUAAAGAGCGCGUAGGCGGGUGCGCAAGUCGGUUGUGAAAUCCUCUGGCUCAACCAGAGAAUUGCAGCCGAAACUGCGCAUCUUGAAUCCAGCAGAGGGAAUUGGAAUCCUAGGUGUAGCGGUGAAAUGCGUAGAUAUCUAGGAGAACACCAGUGGCGAAGGCGGAUUCCUGGGCUGGUAUUGACGCUGAGGCGCGAAAGCGUGGGGAGCAAACAGGAUUAGAUACCCUGGUAGUCCACGCCGUAAACGAUGGGCACUAGGUGUUGGAGGAUGUUGACCCCUUCAGUGCCGAAGCUAACGCAUUAAGUGCCCCGCCUGGGGAGUACGGUCGCAAGGCUG